AAGUCGUAACAAGGUUUCCGUAGGUGAACCUGCGGAAGGAUCAUUAAUGAAUGAAAUUGAGUGGGGUUGUAGCUGGCCUUUCACCGGGCAUGUGCACACCUCAUUCGACCACCUUCUACACCCCUGUGCACUUCUCAUGAGUUGGGCCGCGUCUGAAACACGACAAAGUCCGGCUCGUGUGUUUUAUACAAACGAAUCAUGUUACAGAAUGUCACUACCAUGCUUUGAAGCAUAUAAUACAACUUUCAACAACGGAUCUCUUGGCUCUC
rnacentral:misc_RNA from 1 species